rnacentral:rRNA from 1 species
UACGGAAGGCAGCAGUGGGGAAUAUUGCACAAUGGGCGCAAGCCUGAUGCAGCCAUGCCGCGUGUAUGAAGAAGGCCUUCGGGUUGUAAAGUACUUUCAGUCGUGAGGAAGGUGUUAAGGUUAAUAACCUUAGCAAUUGACGUUAGCGACAGAAGAAGCACCGGCUAACUCCGUGCCAGCAGCCGCGGUAAUACGGAGGGUGCGAGCGUUAAUCGGAAUUACUGGGCGUAAAGGGCACGCAGGCGGUUAAUUAAGUUGGAUGUGAAAUCCCCGGGCUUAACCUGGGAAUGGCAUUCAAGACUGGUUAGCUAGAGUCUUGUAGAGGGGGUAGAAUUCCAUGUGUAGCGGUGAAAUGCGUAGAGAUGUGGAGGAAUACCGGUGGCGAAGGCGGCCCCUGGACAAAGACUGACGCUCAUGUGCGAAAGUGUGGGGAGCAAACAGGGAUUAGAUACC